UACGAAGGGGGCUAGCGUUGCUCGGAAUCACUGGGCGUAAAGGGUGCGUAGGCGGGUCUUUAAGUCAGGGGUGAAAUCCUGGAGCUCAACUCCAGAACUGCCUUUGAUACUGAGGAUCUUGAGUUCGGGAGAGGUGAGUGGAACUGCGAGUGUAGAGGUGAAAUUCGUAGAUAUUCGCAAGAACACCAGUGGCGAAGGCGGACUCACUGGCCCGAUACUGACGCUGAGGCACGAAAGC
rnacentral:rRNA from 1 species